rnacentral:rRNA from 1 species
GACGAACGCUGGCGGCGUGCCUAACACAUGCAAGUCGAGCGGAGAUGUACUGAAGAUUUAUCGGAUGUACAUCUUAGCGGCGGACGGGUGAGUAACGCGUGGGCAACCUGCCUUCCACUGGGGGAUAACACAGGGAAACCUGUGCUAAUACCGCAUGACAUCACAUAGGGCAUCCUGUGUGAUCAAAGGAGUGAUCCGGUGGAAGAUGGGCCCGCGUCCGAUUAGCUAGUUGGUGAGGUAACGGCUCACCAAGGCGACGAUCGGUAGCCGGACUGAGAGGUUGGCCGGCCACAUUGGGACUGAGACACGGCCCAGACUCCUACGGGAGGCAGCAGUGGGGAAUAUUGCGCAAUGGGGGGAACCCUGACGCAGCGACGCCGCGUGAAGGAAGAAGGCCUUCGGUGUAACUUACUUGUAUGAGGGACGAAGGAAGUAGACGGUACCUCAAAACAAGACCACGGCUAACUACGUAGCCAGCAAGCCGCGGUAAAGCUACGUAGACG